UACUGUCUACGAGAACGUCCAGGUCGGUCCCCUGGGCUUGUUGAUGGCUAUAGACUUCCCUAGAAAAAGAGGACCAAAAGCAAAACUCCUUAGAAUUGCUCAAGACUAGAGUUUUACGUGGUUUCCAAGUACUUGCCUCGAUGAAAUGUAACAAUGGAGAUGACUUGCCUUUCCAUUCUCUUUUCUGGUCGGCUGUGUGAGGGUUCGUUAGAAUAAAAAACCCUACCAGUGGUCACUGGUACUAAUAAUCAGUUAUUAGGCGCCUGUUUGUCGUAUGGUCGUGUAUGGUUGUAUAGCCGAGGUACUGUCCUACAAAAAGCUCAGCUAGACAAUAAAUGUCUACGUGAAAGUACUGUCUGAAUAGAUUUGGAAUAGUUUUUGGUGGAGGCGCCGAUGGUGAAAAGUGUUAAUGUAUAUGAUGUCUAAAGUAGAUACGAUGAUAACAAUAAUUUAAGGGCAUAAGCUUUGUCCCAACGACAGAAAGUUAAACCAAAUUUGGUAAUUUUUAAUGUAAGUAAUUUUUAAUUUUGCGCCGACUACGAAAAGAUUAUUUAACAUAAUUUAAUAUAAAGGAAACACCCCAUUCAAGGAAAUCCAACAUUUUUGGGACACUCUAUAUAGUUGCAAAUGAGAUUAUCAGGAAUGCUGGAAGGUUAUAGCAAUAUGGAAUUAGAUAAUCGGAAUCGGAAUCGGAAUUAAUUAAUGAACCAAGAAAAAAAAAUAAGAAUUUUGCAAUAACAGUAGUUAUAAACAAUAAGAAAAAAAUAGGAAUUUUGCAAUAACAAUAGUUAUAAACAAUACGAAAAAAAUAGGAAUUUUGCAAUAACAAUAGUUAUAAACAAUAUGAAAAUAACAAUAGUUAUAAAGAAUAAGAAAAAAAUAGGAAUUUUACAAUAACAAUAGUUAUAAACAAAAAGACAAAUUUUUGCAAAGUGAUCAGCUCGGAAACGAGUCCGGCAGCAAAAUGUAGAGGGUUUCAUCGAUGUCAUCGAAUUCAGGCCGAACAUACGUGAAAUAGUACAAUUUUCGAUAAAAAGUGCAAUAAAGUGGUAAAAAAUGGAAGUAGGUCAAAUGUCUUUUUAAGCGUUUAAGAGGCAACGAAGCCCUACCAGAUGCGAGAAGAUUCAAUCCGAUUGGUCAAUUCGUUUCGGAAUAAGAAGCAAUACAAAAGUUUUCAGUUUUUUGCAACAAAAAAAAACGGGCAUAAUGUGAGAAAUUCCAAAAUUUUUGGACAAUGGAACCACCCCCGAGACAUGCUCUACAAGAUGCAAGAAGUUUCAUCCCGAUUGGUUAAGUCGUCUGGACGUAAUCGAGUAACAUAACAAAAAAAAAAAAAUAUACAUAUAUAUAUGUCGAAUUGAGUAACCUCCUCCUUUUCAAAGUCGGUUAAUAAAUAUUAGGCUAACUGAAAAAGUAAACGAGUAGCACAACUGGAAAAAUGCAUCGCAAAAUGCUUCUUGAAGUCAGCCCAAAAUUUGGAAGACGUGUUUAAUUAAAGUUACAUUGUUCGACAAUAAAGUAUCUCGAAUGAUGAAUUUGCUUCUACAUAGUUGAAAAUCUCGUAUUCUUGCCUAUAAAGAUCCAUUGGUUAAAUGUUUUGUCUCGAUUAUUUUACCAAUUUGAGUAACAAUUGUGUUAUUUGAAUCGAAUAACAUUCAUGAUCUAUAAAGUUAACACUAACAAAGAGAGUUCGACAAUUGUCACACGCUGAAAAAUUUGAAUUUUUGCAGAAAUAAAGUUCAUGGGAAUCUAAUCACUGUGCCCUUUUCCAUAAACGUAAACCAGCUCUCUCAAACAAAAAUAUUAAGCUACGAAAACAGUUUGUUGACACCUAUAAAGAAUGGACAACCGAAGAUUGGAAAAGAGUUAUUAUUGAAAAAGUGAUUAGAAUAAUAUAGAAAAUGGGAGAUCAGUUUGAAUCCUUUAAGGUUUCAAAAGUACAUAGAACGCAUUGCUGGAAGUCUCAGUGGAAGAAAUUUAUUAAAGAUAAAGUGAGAAAUGAAUAAAGAGAUCCACUAUUUCUAACGCACAAUUUAUUGUAUUAGAAUACAGUUCAUACAUACACAGAACGCAUGGCAGAAAGUCUUGUUGUAACAAAUUUAAAUGUUUAUGAUGAAGUGAAAAUAAAAAAAGUGGUCCACUAUUUAUAACACACAAUUUAUUGUAUUAGAACACUUAUUCUCUUUGCACAAUGUUUCUUAUUUGCACAAAAUGAACAUUUACUGUAAUUUGUAUUACGAACUGCACACUCAAACACCAUAUAUUUCUUUCCACAACGACAAGAUGUCACUUCAAUAAUAUAUUUGGCUGAGCGGUUCGACGAUAACCAGGAAGCAACGAUGAUUGAAGUUGCGUAACCUUUUCUGGGAGACCCUAAUACUACUAUACAGAUCGUAUACAGAUCGAUCGGAAAUGUUCAAUCGUAAAGCGGCAAGAAAAGGACCAACUAAAAGGACCAACGUAUCAUAUUCCCCAUCAACUCGGUACGAAUAACUCAUAAAACCUGUAUCGAAACAUUUGACUUCCCGAUGCCAAUGAACCUCAAACACCACGUGAAUAAUCCUUUUUAUCACAGAACUCUGUCGCCCGUUGAACUGGAGCUCUUCUUGGUAGUAAUUCGGAGAGCGUAGAAGGAAACAAUUAAUCUUGUCAUUUGCGUUCACGCAUUUGAAUAUCCAUCGUGUCUAACAUUCUGUCGACGAGUCCCGUCUUCCUUCCACCGAUUCGUCUCAUCUUUUCUCAGUGGCGUGUUACAACCUCGCGAGUCCAACAAACAAAAUGUAUCUUGAGGUUCCAUUCGAAGAAAAAAGAAACAGAGAACGAAUGAAAUUGAAUUAAAUUUCAUUUUAUGGAAACAACAUAAUAAAAUAUGUUGCACAACCACAAGGGGGUUCUGCCCCCUUUGCGAAAGAAUUAGAAUAAAUAAUUGUAACCCUUUGCGCUCGAGACAUUUUUCUACAGAAUCAAAUCCAGUUUUAUAAUAAAUUUCUGUGAAACAAAAAACAUCUACGAACAUUCAUGACUCGAUGUAUUAUUUCAAUUAAUAAUCAGCUGUAUUCUGAUAUUAGUAAAAUUGAAAUUGUACGUUCAAAAAGUUACUUUUAAGAGAACUCCCCCCUUGAGAGAUAUGCAGACACAAGUUCGAGAAACGCUGCGUUAAUGGUCCCCGGAGUUUUUUCUUUUCAAAGUUCGAAAGGCCUCUCCGAAGUUUUCGUUUUAGUUUUCUCUAUUUUUGUCGUUUUUUUUCCAACGUGUAAACAGGUCGAUAAAUCGAGCGUUCGCAAGUUCAAGGCUAAUCAUCGCCGUUCCCUAAAGUGUCUUAUUUUUAGGACUCUCCAGGUUUCUGGACAUACCUGGCACCAUCAACUCCCGAAUUCUUCAACGAGACGAGUUCUAACUCUGACCUCCCUCAUUCUCCUUUUUAUACUUAUUUUCUGCCUAAGACUGGAAAUUUAGCGAGGGCCUUUCGAGGACCGAAUCGAGUUUGUUUGAAACGGACAAGGUUGACUUGGCUACGAGACUGUUUGAAAGAAUGUUGUUAUUUGAAAUAGUUUAUUUCACUUUGAAAAUUUUAGAGAAACAAAUGGUUAAUCCAUAGAAACAAAAAUAAGAAACAGACCUGGAAAUGUUAUGAUUUAAAUUUUAUAAAAACUUAUGUGCCUUGCCAUAGGCUUUACAAUUAACUGUUUCAUUUUCUUAUUACAAAUUGUUUUGAAAAUUACACAUGACAAAUGAAAUUCAAUGAAAAAACAA